rnacentral:lncRNA from 1 species
AGAAUGGGUUCUGAUCUGUCUUUUACAGCUGCUAAAAUAAACCCCCAGACCUAAACAACCCCACAUCUUCUCAUAUUCAGUCUUUAAUGCUGAGGCUCGAAUCCACAUUUAUUCAUUAACUCCAACACAUUAACAACAGUUUAAUUAGAAACCCCCCUUCUGAUGUGGAAGAAAUCAAGGAUAUCAGAGUGUUUCCAAAGCCUUCAGCAUCCUCCUUCCCACCAAGAGAGGGAAAUUUUGUUACAUAAAACCCAUUGCAGUGCUUCUCUCUGAGCUUCACCUCUGCCUGUCUCCAGCUGGAUGCUCAGAGGAGUUGCUGGGUAAUUUACUCAGUCAAACAUGCAUUUAAAGCUUCAGUUUCUUCCUUGAGGUAGAGCCCACUCAUUCUGGAUUUCACAGAAAAACAAUAGAGAACUGAAGGUAUAAAAUUGAGUGCUUAAAAAUGUCUGUUUAACCAGUCCUGGUUAACUCUGUCCACAUCUCUGCAAUCCUUUAAAUUCACAGAAACGUGGUGGAGUUAAUGAAUGGAAUUGUAUUUUUUGUCAUCCUUCUUAAGAAACUUUGUCCUCCAGGAGAAACUGAAGCAGUGCUAGGAGCUGUGUGAAACCGAAUUUCUGGAUAUUUUUUAUGGAUGUAUCAUAAAAGGCUCUCCUCAGCCACCUGAAAACGUUCAGCAAGAUCAGCCUCAACAUUUGGCUCCUCUCUUUUGAUUCAUGAAAGGAGAAAAGCUGCCCUGGCUCCCUGGGAUGGAUGAGGGUUGUGCAGGGAUGAAAUGCUCCAGAGCAUCGUUAUCACAGUGAAAUAUUGGGAGUUGUGUUGGUGGGAGGAAUUAGUUUUGUUUAUUUACCAGCACCCCCGAAGAAUGUGAGGCUAUUUGUUGUAUUAGCUGUGCUCGUCACGAAGAAACAAUUCUGCUGUGAUAAACCUGAAGCCAUUGUUUUAAAAGAUGGGCUGGACCUGCUUUUCAGAGGGGGAGAAUUUUAAUUGCUCAGACACUGAGAGACAAAAAAGGAAGCUCUGCCUGUCAGAGCAGAGUGAGAAAUGUUUUCAGAGCACUCAGUGACCUCCCCACAUCUGGAAUUAACCCCUGGAGAACCAGCCUGAGCCACCACCAUCACUCACCUCAGAAAAACUCCAGGCCUUUUUCUC